CCAGUUCUUGGGCUCUAACUCAGAUUAUCUGCAUCAGGUUCUUUGAAGAUGAGGCCACUUCCGCAUUGUUAAGAAGUUCCAUGGAUUCUCAUGCACGGUAAAGUUGAAGAAUCACUGUUCUCCACGAUUUUGUGUCUGUACUGGAGAAGUUGGCUCAGAGAUGAAGAAGUAACUGGAACACAAUCAUCUGGCAAAAUCAACUGAGAAAAAUGGAAAAAAAGUACCACCUGGCUUCCUUGCUAGUAAUAUUUUUAGUGGCAAUAAUACCCAAAUAAUGUGGAUCCCAAUCAAGGCUGUCAAAUAAACACAUUGCUAGGAGGAUCACCUCAACCUGUAGGAACUUCCUUCCUGCCAAGAAGCUGGUUCAUUCAUCACCAAGCAUCAUCAUCAUGGAAUUCUCACCCUGCUGGAGGUUCGAGCCAAGACAUAGAAAGAGGACAUUACCUGGGGCAGGAAUCAAUUGCCUAUCACUGGGGAUGCCUGCAGAUCAUUGUCCAGAGUGGCUGCUGUUCACUGAGUGUUUCCUCUGUGCCGGGCACCUUGCACACCUUAUUUUCAGUCUCCGCAGCUGCCUUGUUGAGGGAACACCACAUCACAAGGUCUGUGGGAGUUGGAGAAAACUCUCGCUGACUCCCUGAAUAUAGUCCCAGUGGGAACCACCUUGGGGAGAGGCUCUGUCCAGCUGAACCCUCCAGUGCACAGUAUGCUUGGCUGCAGAGGCUUGGAGUGAGAGAGGAGACCAGGGUCCAGCUUCUCGGACAGCACUCACUGGGGUAGGUUGUGUCUGGCACAUUUUCAGCAACUGCUUUCAAAGUAAUAAUAAUAGGAAUUAUAAUCUAAAAAGAAUGGCUUCCACAUGUCGCUCUGCUUGUUUAAAAUCCAGGUUCACAGCCCUACUUCUUGAAUUCCCAAUUAAGAAGCGUCUGAAGGAAUCCAGUGAUCUCUGUAUUUAACUAUCUUUCAGAAUAAUUUAUCAGCAACUAACUACGACAUUUGAAAAUCACUGAUCUAAAAAUGUCAACAUCCUGUUCACAGACAUUUCAAAGUUUCCUGAAAUAAUAGUUCAAGACUUUCUUUUAGAGUGACUCCCCUAUGAUACAAAGCAAAUGCACGUAUAUGAAAGUAUAUAAUGACCAGAAUAGUCUGGUAAUCCAGUGAGUAUCUAUGAUGUGCUAGGCACUGCACAGAAAAGUUUACAGGCAUUACUGCAUUUAAUCCUUUCUGCAGAUUUUAUGGGGAGAGGGUUAUGAAUGCACCCAU
rnacentral:lncRNA from 1 species